AUACGGAGGGUGCGAGCGUUGUUUGGAAUUAUUGGGCGUAAAGCGCGUGUAGGCGGUUUGUUAAGUCUGAUGUGAAAGCCCCGGGCUCAACCUGGGAAGUGCAUUGGAUACUGGCAGACUUGAGUACGGGAGAGGGUAGUGGAAUUCCCAGUGUAGGAGUGAAAUCCGUAGAUAUUGGGAGGAACACCGGUGGCGAAGGCGGCUGCCUGGACCGAUAUUGACGCUGAGACGCGAAAGCGUGGGUAGC
rnacentral:rRNA from 1 species